GAUGAACGCUAGCUACAGGCUUAACACAUGCAAGUCGAGGGGCAGCGGUAUCGAAAGCUUGCUUUCGGUAGCCGGCGACCGGCGCACGGGUGAGUAACGCGUAACGAACCUGCCUCAUACUCGGGAAUAGCCUUGCGAAAGUAAGAUUAAUGCCCGGUGUUUUCAGAGUCCCGCAUGAGGCUUUGAACAAAGAUUUAUCGGUAUGAGAUGGCGAUGCGUCCCAUUAGCUUGUUGGCGGGGUAACGGCCCACCAAGGCAUCGAUGGGUAGGGGUUCUGAGAGGAAGGUCCCCCACAUUGGAACUGAGACACGGUCCAAACUCCUACGGGAGGCAGCAGUGAGGAAUAUUGGUCAAUGGGCGGAAGCCUGAACCAGCCAAGUAGCGUGCAGGAAGACGGCCCUCCGGGUUGUAAACUGCUUUUAGUUGGGAAUAAAACGGGGCUCGUGAGCCCCCUUGCAUGUACCAUCAGAAAAAGGACCGGCUAAUUCCGUG
rnacentral:rRNA from 1 species